GGGCCCGUAGCUCAGCAAGGUCCAGAGCGGCGGGCUCCAGACCCGUAGGUCGUGGGUUCAAAUCCCACCGGGCCCACCA
rnacentral:tRNA from 4 species